rnacentral:rRNA from 1 species
AGCGAACGCUGGCGGCAGGCUUAACACAUGCAAGUCGAGCGGGCGUAGCAAUACGUCAGCGGCAGACGGGUGAGUAACGCGUGGGAACAUACCUUUUGGUUCGGAACAACACAGGGAAACUUGUGCUAAUACCGGAUAAGCCCUUACGGGGAAAGAUUUAUCGCCGAAAGAUUGGCCCGCGUCUGAUUAGCUAGUUGGUGAGGUAAUGGCUCACCAAGGCGACGAUCAGUAGCUGGUCUGAGAGGAUGAUCAGCCACAUU